GUCCACGCCGUAAACGAUGAUUACUCGAUAUUGGCGAUAUACGGUCAGUGUCUAAGCGAAAGUGAUAAGUAAUCCACCUGGGGAGUACGAUCGCAAGGUUGAAACUCAAAGGAAUUGACGGGGGCCCGCACAAGCGGUGGAGCAUGUGGUUUAAUUCGAUGAUACGCGAGGAACCUUACCAGGGCUUAAAUGUAGAUUGACAGGUUUGGAAACAGACUUUUCUUCGGACAAUUUACAAGGUGC
rnacentral:rRNA from 1 species